UACGAAGGGGGCGAGCGUUGUUCGGAAUUACUGGGCGUAAAGGGCGCGCAGGCGGCUCUGAAAGUCGGAUGUGAAAGCCCCGGGCUUAACCUGGGAAUUGCAUUUGAUACUCUGGAGCUUGAGUACGGGAGAGGAGAGUGGAAUUCCCAGUGUAGAGGUGAAAUUCGUAGAUAUUGGGAAGAACACCGGUGGCGAAGGCGGCACUCUGGGCCGGUACUGACGCUGAGGAGCGAAAGCGUGGGGAGCAAACAGG
rnacentral:rRNA from 1 species